UCCGGUCCUCCCCAGAAACCGUGUCCUCUCUCUCUCUCUCUCUCUCUCUCUCUCUUCUCGAUCAACAGCAACAGCGGCGGUCAGAAGCUUCCGUCGCGACAGCUCCCGACCUCCUGCCGGUCUCCCCCGUCCGGUACUCCGCGCGAAUCCCGAGGCGGCGGCGGCGGCGGAGGAGGAGUAGGAGCGGAGGGGGGCGGGCCCAUCAGCUAUGAGCCUCGCGGGCUCCGCCCUGGAGGCGGCGGUGCAGGCGGUGGGGCGCGGCCUCGACGCCGCUGGCGACCACCGCCUGCUCUACUGCAAGGGCGCCGGGAGGCUCGUGGCGCUCGACGAGGACCGCGCACGGGACAUCCCCCUUAGAAGCGGCGGCGUCCUCUCCAGCGUGCCCCGCGACGUCGCGGUCGAGCAGUGGUCCAGCGACCCCCUGCGAAUCCGGCCGCCCGUCCCCCACGGCGUGCCCCCCGCAGCCCUGGACGAGCCCUUCGUUUGCAGCUUCCAGCAGAUGGCUGAGUAUUUCAACAGGAAGUCAGGCUUGUUGGAGACUGUACCGCUGGGUUCCUUCAACUCACUGUUCAGCUUCACCGGUUCAUGGAAGAAUGAUGCUGCGGCUACGAAGGCCCUUGCGAUUGAUGGCUAUUCUCUGCCACUGUUUCGAGCGAUAAUUAAGAGUGACGAACUGACUCUGCUUGAGAGCGUUAAGCGCGCGAUUCCAAAUGUUUGGGAUCCAUCAGCAUUGGCUAGCUUUAUUGAGAAUUACGGAACACAUAUUAUUACCUCUGUUACGGUUGGUGGUAAGGAUGAGGUAUACAUUAAGCAGCAUUCAUCGUCCCAGUUGUCAGAGCUGGAAUUCAAAAAUUAUGUGAGGGAAAUUGGGAGGGAAAGAUUCUCAGAAGUGGAAAAUAAGUCAAAUGCAACUCCCAUCAAUUACAGCGAGAAGGAUAUGACCGUAAUAUUCAGAAGGAGGGGUGGUUGUGAUCUUGUUCAAAGUUUCAGUGAUUGGAAAGGAACUGUUGCCUCAGCACCAGAUGUCAUAGCCAUGACCUUUCUCUCAAUUGUCUCUCUUGUUGAUGAUAUACCAGGGAAAAAGCACCUUGCUCGUGCAGUUGAGCUAUACUUGACAUACAAACCUCCAAUUGAAGAAUUGCAGUACUUCUUAGAUUUUCAAGUCCCACUAGUUUGGGCUCCAGCUCCACCAGGUAUUGCUGGUCACCAUAGGAAGGAACCUGUCUGCCCAUCGCUUCAGUUUAGCUUGAUGGGCCCAAAGCUCUUCAUUAGCACAGAACAGAUAUCUGUUGGGCGUCGACCGGUUGUUGGCCUCAAACUGCUCUUGGAAGGAGCAAAACAGAACCGUCUGGCUAUUCAUUUGCAGCACCUUGGCUCAUUACCGAAAAUAUUCCUACCUCACUGGGAUUCCCAUAUUACCAUUGGACCUCCGAAAUGGCAAGGCCCUGAAGAGCAGGACAGCCGAUGGUUUGAGACAAUCAAAUGGAAGAACUUCGCUCAUGUCAGCACGGCGCCCAUAGAGUACACUGAAACAAAUAUUACAGAUCUAUCUGGUGUUUAUAUUGUUACAGGAGCACAGUUGGGAGUGUGGGAUUUUGGUGCAAAGAGCGUUCUCCACCUUAAACUCUUGUUCUCCCGAGUUCCUGGGUGCACAAUUAGAAGAUCAGUGUGGGACCACAACCCAUCAAGUUCUUCGACUCAGAGAACAGAUGAAUCUUCAUCAUCCUCUAGUGAUAAUGCUAAACUUGUGAAGAUCGUUGACAUGACCGAGACAUUGAAAGGCCCACAAGAUGCGCCUGGCCACUGGCUGGUCACAGGAGCUAAGCUGGGUGUCGAGAAGGGCAGGAUUGUUGUGCGCGCGAAAUACUCCUUAUUGAAUUAUUAACCACAUGUUGAAAGCAUUCAUUCACUUACUCUCCUAUGGAGUACUGUGUUUAAAGAUAGCAUUUGUUCUUUUUGUUUUUCAUGUAUGGCUUUCCUUUCUCUUGUAACUUGAUGUGGAUUCAUGCUUCUGCUUGUUGAUGCCAUGAGUCAAGUAGCAUGAAGAUGUUUAUGCUGAGUUCAAAUGUGUUUGAUCUGGCCUCAGACAUCUCUUCCACAGCCAUCCGAUCGUGGCAUUGGAAUUGAUGCGUUCCAUUUACGAUUCAUGUUCUAGCACAGAUCUUCUUGACGGUAGUGGAUGUGGUUAUUGCAGAUUGGUUGCACAGAUUGCAGAUUGAUGUGAGCAAUCAUACAUUCAGACUGCCUCUGUGGGCCAUGGAAUACUGCGCCUCAUUUUGUAACAUGCAACAUGUAUGCUUCCUGAAAUUCAUGUUUACACUUUUGUGCUCUAGUGUUAGCAAACUUGGAGUUUGCCAACAUGUUAUGUUGUUGUGUU